CGUAACAAUGAGCAUGGAAGCGAUGGAAAAAAUAUAAUAAAAUGGGAGUCUAGUCACUGAUCAAUACCUAUAUAUCAUAAAUACAAAGGUACCUGGCAAUGGAAAAGACUUUUAAUUCACACCCAAAGACCUCUCUAGAAAACAAUAUAAAUGACCCAUAUAAUCCGAAAAGACAUCAUAACACAAUACACGACGUACUCCAACAUAUCAAAAGUACUCUCGUGUAACCUCGUAUGGUACUAAAAUGUUCAAGGGCUGGUGGCUGGAGGAGGAGUAAGGAAAGGAAUAGACGGGAUUUUAGGGAGAGAAGUAGGGAUGCUCGGCAUUGGCGGCAAGGUCGUCGGCAUGGUUGGCAAGCUUGGAAGUGGUGGCAGAGUAGUCUUGGGCAGGGCUGGUUGUGUGGUGGGCAGCGUUGGCAGUGUGGGCUGAGGCAGGGUCGUAGGGAUGGCAGGCAUUGGUGGCACGGCGACCUUAGGCAAUGUCGGCAUGGCUGGUAGUGGCGGAAGCGAUGUCGGGUUUGGUAGAGUCGGUAUUGUGGGAAGAGACGGUAUGGAUGGCAUAGUUGUUUGCAGCAGAUGACGAGCUCCAAAGCUCAUAUCGAUGAUUGAGAAAAUUAGAGCGAUGAAGAGUACAAAGCUUUUUGAGAAAGAAGCCAUAUUGGUAUAUGGAGUCAGGAUAUUGUGCUGUGAUAGGCUCAAGGACUUGAAGCCAAUGAGCUGAGAGGAAUGGAUUGCUGAUUGUGUUGGAGUAAAUGGAGGGAGGAGAUGGCAGUUUAUAUAGCAAGAGAUAGUUAUAUAAAAAUUUAGAGUUGUGAUUAUAAGUUGGUGACUGGCCUGUGGGUAUGGUUAGGAAUAAACAAAACAUUCCUCAUUGGUUCUUUGUUAGCUCACCUUGUCAGCUCAAUCUUCCACAGGAAUAAAUAAUAAAGAAGGGGUCAAACUUUGUGUUCUGUUCCGUUGGGUCGAAUGGUCGUUAUCUCAUGAAAGUCAAGCUUCUGAUCUGUGUCCUCGUGGAUGGUAACUAGAUAACUUGUUCCAUAACUAUAGCUAACUAGGGUUAUCGAUAACUUGUUUUAGGAUUUUAACGUACUAAUCAAGGGUUUCUAUGUGUCGCCUUGACAAAUACCUCAUUGCUCUGGACAUGUCAAUGCUUUUAACUGUGAUCAUCUUUGGUUUACUCCUCGGACUUGAAGAAGUAAAAACUUGUGGGACUUUAUUUACUUCCGAGUCUAGCCUUUUUACGAAGAAAAGUUGAUGAUCAUGGAAACAUAUGGCAUUGCGAAAUCAUCUCUAUCUCUAUCUCCGUCUCCGUCUCUGUCUCUCUCUCAAACUUGGAGGUCCAUAAGUGCCUAUCACACAUAUUUUUUCAUUUUUCUAAAAAUUUCCUAGUUUAAAAUGUUUUUCUAAAGCACAUUAGAUUAGUAAAGUAUAUGUUUAGUUGUAAUAACAAGUAAAAUCAUGCAUUGACAUUAAGGUACCCUUUGUUUCGUAGAAAAUGAAUGGUUUGGAAAACCAUUUUUUUUUAUUUUAAAAAUGAUCACUUAUAACAAUUAUGAAAAGGAAUAAAUAGAAAUUAUUUUUAUUAUCCAUGAAAAUACUUAGGCAUAAAUUAUUGUCGAUAAUAAAAAUAUAUUUCAUUGAUCAAUUAUUUCAAACGAUAUAAGCAAUCAUUUUUAAGAAAAUAUUUUUCAAAUAAUAUAUUUUCGUAAAAAAAAAUUAGAGCCUAAAUGGUUGAAAAAUAUGGUGACAUCUUAAUCCAAUAGCUAAUAUUUUUGUCUUCAAUUUACUUUUUGUGGUAUCCGUUCUAAUAGAUCUGGUUUAUUCAUAACCAAAUAUAUUUAAGUGGCAAGUUCAGGGUUAUUGGAUAUAUAUAAUUUUUGUUGUAAUUGAUACCAACAAGGACCAUUUGAUGGAAAAUUAAAGAAAAGAUGACACUUUGCACGCAAAAGGCAUGUGCACAACAUAUGAUAGCGGAAGAAGUUCACGGCAUUAACAAGUGAAAGAAAAUGAAACCUUUUAAAGUUCGGAAUUUAACGUUCAAUAACCCUAAAGCUGAGGGCUCAAAUGAAAUUGUGUUCCAAAUCUGUGAACAUAUUUCUAAAAAUACAUUGGCAACAGCCUGCACUAAUAACCAUACUGAAGAGUAAAAGGUCAUGCAGGACAACCCAGAUCAUGAUUUUGUCUCUUCCCCUUUCACGUAGAAUUAAUUGCCGCCAUGAAAACGAUAGGUAUUUGGUAAAAGUUGGCGCUAACAGGGGGAAAUUUACUAUUAGUUUCUUCAUUAGAAAGGGAAGAAAUAACAAAAUCUCAUGGUUUACUAUCAAUUCAUUUCAUAUUUCUUCCUUUAGAUGACAAAUUUUCACAUUUAGAUGAUAUGUCGGAUUUACUAAUACCCUAAUUCAUUCAUCUAUAAAUCCCGGCAUUUUUCAUUGGCAAUGGAGUUUCACAACGUAGAAGAAAUUAACUCCAAUUACUUAUGUUGCUAAAAGCAACGAUUAUAAAUUAUUUGAUUGGGCAUGCGCAUGCACGAGUAAUACGCCAUUUGAUUGGAAUGCAAAAUAUACGGAUCGCUGUAAGGUGUCAAUUCAAUAUAGUUGUAGCGCUUUUCAUUUCAGUUACUUUUCUAUUUGAAUCUUUUUCUCAUCAUAAAUCCAGUUGAUUGUAUUGCACGAAACAAUGAGUUGGAAGUGAUGGAAAGAAUACAAUAAUCUGAUCCAAGUCACCGGUCAAUACAUAUAUAUGAAUGAUAUAUAAAAAGCAACAUGAAUGAUACACAUAAUCCAGAAGACAACGUAACACACGACUCUGUAUUCAAACAAUUCUACAAAGAAAAGGAGGCACUUCAACAAAUUGUAAAUACUCUCAGGUGACCUCGUACAGUACUAAAAUCUUCAGGUGCUGGUGGCCGGAGGAGGAGCAAGAAAAGGAAUAGAAGGGAUUUUAGGGAGAGAAGUAGGGAUGCUAGGCAUCGGAGGCAAGGUGGCAGGCAUGGUUGGCAAGCUCGGAAGUGGUGGCAAAGUAGUCUUGGGCAGUGCUGGUUGUGUGGUGGGCAGCGUUGGCAACGUGGGCUGAGGCAGAGUUGUUGGGAUGGCAGGCAUUGGUGGCAAGGCGACCUUUGGUAAUGUCGGCAUGGCUGGCAAUGGAGGCAGUGAUGUUGGUAAAGUUGGCAUGGUGGGAAGAGACGGAAUAGAUGGCAUAGUUGUUUGCAACAAAUGACGAGCUCCGAAACUCAUGUUGAUGGUUGAGAAAAUUAGGGUAAUGAAGAGAACCAAGCUCUUAAAGAAAGAAGCCAUAUUGGUAUAUGGAGUCAGGAUAUUGUGCUGUGAUAGGCUCAAGGGCUCAAAAUCAAUGAGCGGAGAGGAAUGGAUUGCUGAUUAUGUCCGAGUAAAUGGAGGAAGGAUAUGGGAGUUUAUAUAACAAGAGAUGGUCAUAUAAAAUCUAGGGCUGUGAUGAUAAGUUGGUGACUGGCCUUUCGGUACGGUUAGGAAAGAAACACAGAACGUCUCUUCAUUGGUUGUCUGUUAGCUCACCUCCUCAGCUCAAUCUUCCACCGGCAAAAGGAAAACAAAAAGGUCAAAUCUGAUGUUCUUGUUUCGACAGAUGGCAUGUUUUCAUGAAGUGAAGCUUCGGAUCUGUCUUUGUGGACGGUAACCGAUAGCUUGUUUCAUAACUACCACGAACUAGAGAGAUUGCCAACUUGCUUAUGGACUUUGACGUAUCAAUCUAGUGUUUCAAUAUAUUUUUCAUGUCAUUUUUGGUGAACUCCUAGUAUUUGAAGAAGUCAAAACUUGUGGGGCUUUAACAUCUGGAUCAAGCCUAAAUACGUAUGUUUUAUUGAAACAUGUGACAAUGCAACUGCAUAAGUCUAACAAGUUUGACGUCAUAUGGGAACAAUGAUAAACAUAUGGGAAUUUCAUUUUACUCCCCUCAACUUUGGUGUUGAUGCACAUUAAGGGCACGCAUGAGAAAAUUUUUAGAAAAGAAAUCAAUUUCUAUUCCAUGGACGAGUUUCUGAGUAAAAAAACAUGUUUGAUAACAAUUUAAAAUUUCUAUUUCUGAAAUAAAAAUUCGUUUGCGGCAACGACAAACGUUCGGUGGCCGGAGUCCAACGUUCGGCGACCGGCAUUCGGUGUCCAGCGCCAAGUCCGGUGACGGGCGGUGGGCGGCCAAAGUUUGGAGUCUGACGACCGGCAACUAGCGUCUAAUGUCUGGAGUUUGACAUCUAACGUCGGACAUUCGAAGUUCGGCGACAAGAGGCCGGUGGUGAGUGGCCAAAGGCCGGAGUCUGGCGGCAAGUGGCUAGCGGUCGACAUCUAGCGGCUGGUGGGGAGCAGUGGAUGGUUGCUGACGGACAUCUGGUGGUUGGUGGUGAGCCUCCGGAAUGCAAUGAUUGGUGAUGAGUGGUGAAUGAUCUGUGGGCAUUUGGCAUCUGGCGACUGGCGACUAGUAAUGAGAGGCUGGAGUGUGGUGGCCGCUGUUCACACCCAAAAUUUUAUCGACAUUUUUAAACGUCCAUUUAGUUUGCAUAUAAAAAAAAUAAGAGAAAGAAGAAAAACAAAAAGAAAUAAAAAGCAAAAAAAAAAAAGACAAAAAAAAAACGAAUGAAUGAAAAUGUAAAAAAAAAAAAAGAAAAGGAAAAAAGAAAAAAAAUGAAAAAGGGGCGCUCAUGAAGCAAAGGAAAGGGGGGGCCAUUUUGAGGAUGGAUUCUCUCUUUCCCGCUCUCCGAGACGCUCUCUCUCUCCCUGGUUCCCGCUCUCUCGGCUAAACGACCAAACGGACUCGCAGACUCCCUCUCUUUCGCUGUAACAACCUCCUCUCUCUCUUGAUUUCUUCCCCAUCUCGGAGGCCGACGAAGAACCCUCCGACGCCGGCCAUGGCUCCGCUCCCUCCCUCGACGAUUGCCUCCAAGUCUCGCGGUGCUCCUCUUGAGAAGUAAUGCGCCGGAUCCGGCAUCCUCACGAUCGGAGACUCUCUCUCUCCCGAUCAACUCUAGAAGACGGAACAACUGUUGAUCAAGGAACUCGUGGUGUGAGACUCGGAAUCGCGCCAAGUUGUCGGAGAUAUCAGUUCGGUUCUGAGGGUAGGGAUCCGAAGGCAGUGACAUCGGCGAUCGGAGAUCAGUGCUUUCUCUUGGUUGGAGCUCGAUCAGUUAGGGUUUUCCUUUAUUGGCGCGAUCGGAGGUGUGGGAGCUCGCCGAAUCGGACUCUCUCUCGAUUGUUCAUUCUCUCUCUAGAUCUGGGGUUCCGGUUUAGCUCCAAGGAUUGAACUCCAAGACCGAUCGACGACAUCAGUGGUGACGGCAACAACGGUGACGAUAGGACGUUUAACCGUUUCUCUCUCAGCUCUGUCAUUUGCUCAACGGUGAACUCUUUUUCUCUCUCUCGAUCUGCUGAGUUUUUGGCAUCUGGUUUCUCUCUUGUUCACUCCCUCUGACUUGAACGCUUUCUCCCUCUCGAUCGCUCCCUCGCGCACCCUAUCUGACCCACUGGAACGGUCGGUCGAGGAGCUUGAAGUUUUGGGCUCAAACAAUGUCGUCAACGGCAACGGUGACAUCCACGGCUUCUGAUCCUUCGCCUAUUCAUUCAAGGUAAGCUUUAGCCCUUUCAUUGCUGGUAGGUACUGCAGCCUUGUGAUUAAAAAGGAGAGUUUUCUUGAUGAUGUUGUCUGCUUCAUGCGAGUUUUGGCCUUGUCUAUAUGCAUGCUGCGAUAGCGAGGUCUUGGGUGUUUAUUGUUUUUGAAUCCCUACUCAAGCUCAGUCUUGGUGCUCCCUGUUUUUUUUGCGCCUAUUUAGCGUUCGAUGAAAUGCCUAAGCUAAACGCACGUUCAUAGUCUUUACUGUGCUCGAGGUUUGCUGUCCUUUUGUACUGUGCUCGAGGCUUGCUUCUUUCUUGAUAUUUUGUAAUGGAUGCUGUGAGCUCUUGGAUUUGGUCAUCAUCUACUAGAUUCGACAAUUGUUACAAACGGAGCUACAAUUUGUAAAUGAUUAAGUGUUCUGUUUUCAUACUCUACUUUAAUGACCUGUGUUGUUUGCCAUUUUCACAUGAUUUUUUUGUGAUUAGAUUCUAAAGUUGAUGCCUAAAUGAAAGUUGUUCAUUAGGUUCCAAUCUAUAUCAAAUAAAAAUUUCGUGAUAAUUGAAGAUCAUUUACCCAGGUCGAAUAUGUCUAGAAUAUCCCUGACUUUGUUUGAAAUUUUGCUGUUCUGAUUGGUUCUCUGUUUUGGAUGACCUUUUGUACAAAUGACCUGAUACGAGCUGGUUGCUGUGGUUUUCUGUGUUUGAUGCCUUCAUGAGAGUUGAAGAUGGUUCGACUAGCUUUCCAACAAGCUAUAACACACCCUGAUCCGAUAUCAUUAGCCACAUGAAACCUUCUUUAAAAGUUAGGGAGUAAUUCUGGAAAAUUGUUGUGUUCGUACCAAUGUGUUAUGUUACAGAUUAUGUCUAUUCUGUGCAUGCUUGCUGUUCAUAUGCUUUGGUAUGUGGAAUUGUUCGAUCGUGCAUUUGAUGUUUGUUGUUCAUGUGUGCAUUUGCUGUGUUAACAUGUUAGUUAGCAAAGCUUUUUUGCAGUACAAAGAAGCAAAUUUCCUUUGCUACCAUAUAACCUGGGUGGGAUUUUAUCUGUUCGCAAGAUUUUGCUGCCAUGUAUUAUUCUUUCCCUUUGCUUUCAAAAGUUUUUGUUCUCUUAUGCUUCAGUGUCUAUGAAAUGUUGUGUUCUUACAUCCCAAUUGUGUCACUUACUAAAUGAUUUGGUUCGCGAUGCAUAAAAUUUCCAAGUUUUCAUGUUGUAUUUCCAAGUUUCUGAAUCAUGCUUUUGGCUAGAAAUCAAUGCUAUAUGAGGUUUGAAACAUGUUUAGAACGUCUUUGAAGCUUGAUCAGUUGUGCCCAUGAUGCACCUAAGCUUGCCUUGAUGACUAGAUUUAUUCCAUGACUUGAUGAACUGAUAUCUCCCUUUUCAUCAAAUCUUUUAAAAUGAUGUCCUUUGUCAAUUGUCUAUAAAACGGUUUUAGGUAUCAUGUGGGUUACAUAUUGACUGCUUCAUUCCCCUUGAAUACAUGUGUUGAGCGAAUUCAAUGGUGCAUGUGUUUGAAUAAGUGAUCCUUAGUUGGUUCACUCAUUAGUUUGGAUUGGUUAAGAAUCAAGAUCGUAUGGCCUAAAUGCAUGUCAAUUAAUAUGCUUUGCAUGUGAUUGUUAGAUAAAUGACUUAGGUGCGAUGCAGGAUAAUGUAAGUGCCUUUGGGAUGCCGCAUAGAUUUUGACUUAGAGAUUUCGUGACUUUAGUCACCAUUUGUGAACAUAAAAAAAUGUCUUGCUUUUGAUUGUUUUGAUACGUGAUGAUUGUUUCUUUCAUUUGUAUACAUCUAGUCAUCCAGAUUUCUUAGAUUAGGUGUAGAUUAGGGCCCUAAAAAUGGACCUUUGCAUGAAGAUGGUGGAGGUUGAUGUCCACUUCAACCGUUGUCAUGUACUAUUUGUUUUCCCGACAUAUGUCUCGGGUUCCAUGCAUUGUAUAAAACCCGACAAGUUGCGGGUUUCCUUUCUUUCCCAAUUGUUUUCUCUUUUAUAUUUUUAGAAUUACAUAAUUAUGUUUAACUACUUUUCUUGAUUGUUUACUUCAUGUUUUGCAAUUUCAUUUUCAUUGAUUGUUUUCCUUUCAUUUCUUAGGAAUAGAAUAGAAUAGAAUAGAAUGAAAGUAAUCCACCAUGCAUGAUCACUUAGUCUAGAAAUAACGAUCUUGAAAAUAUAAAAAGAAACGCAUGGACAUGUUAGGAAAAAACACAACAUACUGUUUAGGUACCGAAAUUGCGUUAAUAGAAAUAUUAGCGUAACCCAAGUCCCCGAACCUAGAUAUCUGGUUGCGUAGGAAUCGAGGGAACUCUCCUGACCCUCGAUUGGGUUUUCUAGCCGACCCCCAAAGAAUGAGGUUAGUGGCGAAUCUUGUAUAUUCUUAGGUUGUUAAACAAUUAGACUGCAUAAAUAAGCCCGAUGUCACGCGGGUUACGAGUUUGGGAGAGCUCGCGAUCUCGUGAGGGAACUCUCAUGAUCAAGUACCCCUAAACCUGACCUUUCCCACCUUAGACUUUUCGAGGGCAGGGAGAUCGGGUCGCAACAGCUGGUAGCCGACAUCCGGUGGCUGACGAUCAGUAGCUAGUGGCUCAGGCUAGUGGUAGGCGGCCAACAAUUGGCGGUGGGUGUCUGGCAUCCCACAGGCGGCGAGUAGGCAACGGAUGGUGACGAAAAUGAACAAUGAGAAAAAUUUUGAUUUUUCAUUUUUAUUCCAGAAAUAGAAAAGCUAAAAAAUUUUAAUUUCUAAUUUCUACUCAAAAUCUAUUUAUGGAAUAUAAAUCUUUUCCAGAAAUAGAAAUAUGAAAUUGUGUUACCAAACGCAUUUCUGUUCCAAACCUGUUCAGGGGAACAGAAAAACAGAGAAAUAGAGAAACAUAAAUUUUGUCAUGCGCGCCCUAAACCCUAAACCUCAAAAAGUUGCAUUUUACCUCUUUGAACUUGCACUUUUGCCCUAAUGCAACUACAAUCAAUGACUUCAGACUUAUUGCUUGUAACAACACGGUGUAUAAAUGCAUUACAAAGAUCAUUGCUAACCGCAUGGCUGCUAUCAUGCCUACUAUCAUCAGCCUUGCUCAGAACGCCUUUGUCAAGGGGAGGCAUAUUAGCGAUAAUAUCCUUCUAGCCCAAGAGCUUUUUGCUGGGUUUCAUCUUAAGCCAUAUAAGCCCAAAUGUGCCAUCAAGGUUGAUUUCCGUAAGGCUUAUGACACUCUCAAUUGGGAUUUUCUUGAGGUAAUGCUUUGUGCUUUCCGCUUUCCCCUACAUUUCUCUAAACUUAUUAUGAGUUGUGUUCGCUCGCCGCAUUUCUCUGUUUCCCUGAAUGGUGAACUCCAUGGAUUUUUCCCAAGUGGUAGAGGUAUUAGACAAGGAGAUCCCAUGUCACCCUACCUCUUUACUUUUGUUAUGGAGGUAUUUACAGGCAUCCCAAAUAUGCAAACCAGCCAGCCUUUGUUCCAAUAUUUCUGGAGGUACAAGUCGACUAUACUUUCCCACUUGUUCUUUGCUGACAAUGUCCUACUCUUUGCGGAGGUGACUUUGCCAGCUCUCACAUUUCUCAAGGCAGGCAUUGAUAAGUUCUCCCGGUGGUCGGGCCUUCAACCGAACUUGCAUAAGAGCGAGAUUUAUUUCUCAGGGGUCUUCUUUGAUUCCUGCAGUGCCUUCACAUCACUCUUCGGAUUCCAAGAAGGAUCCUUGCCUUUCGUGAUGCCCCCCCCCCCUCCCCUCUAGGCAACAUCGCUCGCGACCAGCAAGGGCGUGACCCCUUCACCUAGGGCUUUCGUAACGAGGCAAGGCGGCCCUCGCCUAGAUCUACUCAUGAAGGCCACGGGUGAAGGCAUCGCUACCUUGCCAACCCAAGGUAAGACGGCAUCACCUAUGGCUGCCCAAAGCUAGCAACGACCCCUGCAGCCUCCCGAACAACUGAGGAAGCCCUGACGGCCUUGCCUAGGGCCUUUGCAAGGGUUUCAUGGUUGCCGAGGGUUGCCAGUGUCCCUUGCUAGCCUUAAAGAAAAAAAAAAGACAAAAAUUCAAAGAUUCAAAAAAUAAUAAAAAUAUUUAAAAUAUUAAAAUAACUUUAAAAAAUUGUCCAGGUCACGUCGGCGAAGCCACGUUGGAUAACCGGGAAAAUCUAAAUUGACAUUCAAGUAAUCAAUUUUUCAAAUUUGUGAUAUUUAAGUGAGAGAAAAAAAGUUUUGGCACUCUUGUGAAUAUUGUAUGGAAGUUUUGGCACUUCUAGACUUCUUAUCCCGAAAAGAAUAAUACUUACGUUAAAAGCUGAGGAAAAUGGAAAAUUAUAAAAGAUACGCAAAAUCAGUACUCUCUCUCCGUCUCUCUACACCUUAGAGUGCCUCUCCCAAGUAUUUCCAUUUUUUCAAGACUUUCCCAGUCUUUAAAGUUUUCUUAGAUUUAGCACAUUACACUAGUAAAGUUCAAGUUUAGCAGUUUUUACAAGUUAAAUCAUACAAUUGACAUAAAAUGGUCGAAAAAAUAUUGCAGCUUCUUAUAAUGAAUAGUCACUAAUUUUUUUCAUCUUUUUACAUUUAACGUUAUCCGCUUUAAAUAUCUCAUAGGUAUUUCCUAAUUUAAAUAUGAAUUUGGUAGUUCUAAGGGUUAGUGGUGUCAAUUAUCCCUCUUCAUAUUUUAUUCAUUAUUUAUUGGAAUUGAGAUAAAAAAAAAAAAAAAGACCAUUUGAUAAGUCACCCCCAUUGUCCGCAACACAUGAUAACAGAAAAAGGUCAACAGCUUUGACAAGUGUAAGAAAAUGCGUGCUCAGAGAAUAAACUGUAUCUUUUCAAAGUUCGGAAUGUAUUACACACUAAUAUUAAUUUUUAACGUUGAGGGGUAAAAUGAAACAUUUUUCCAAAUAUAUGAAAAUAUACCUAAAAAUAGAUGAGUGGCCAUCCGUACCAAUAACCAUACUAAGGGGUAAAAUGUCAUGCGGGACAAGGUAAUUAUGUUUUUGUCUACUUCCCCUUUCAAGAGGCAUUGGUUGCAUCAUGAUAUGACGGGAAUGUUGCAAAACUUGGCGCUAGAGUGGGAAACUUCUUUUUAAAUGUCCAUGCAAAAUUCGUAUAAUCAAGGACUGUGAUGUAUAUGUUGAUGUUUUCGUAGUGAUUUCUGUUAACUUAGUUGCUAGACGAAUAAAAGUUAAAUUGGUGUUUAAUUAACGAGUUAUAAAAAGAUAUCGGAGGUUCAUUGACUUUCUUUUCCCCUUCAGUUUUUUGAUGGCAUCUUUUGAUUUCCUUUUCGUGCGAUCGGGUGGGACGGCUUUUGAGGGUUGCACCUUGUUGCUGUGCAGACGACGUUGUGAACUUUGACACAUUAGCUAGCGUGAGGGUGGCGACCCUUGCCAUUCCGAGGGGCUAAGGUGCGCGCUCCUCAGCGACCAGUGAGCGUGUGAUUAUGCACCAGGGUUGCCGGCAUCAUUGCCUUACCCCGAUGAGGGUUCGGCCAUUUUGGCCAAUGACCGGGCCAUAGCUUAGCCUUUCCUUUUACAUAUGUCAGUGACAUUUCAUUAAAGGUUUUUUUUUUCCUACUUUUUCAAUAUUUUGAGUAUAUAACUACCGCAUUUUAUGCAAGCAAUGCGGAACAUUUUCCUUAGUUUAUUUGGUAGAAUGACCUCCGUAAACCAAAUAUAUUGUGCGAGGACUCAAUUUCACAUGAAAAAUCCUUAGUGUUCUCCUUAAGCAAGUAGAAAAAGUCCAAGAACAAAUGAUGUCUUCACCCCAACUAGACUUGCCAUCAAAAUCUGGGCGGAAGAUCCCCUAAUACAUAUGAUACUUGUGUCUCGAUAGAUUUCAGUUGCCGUUGAUCAAAACCUCAAUUUUAUAAAUUCACAAUUUGUUGAAUUACAAAAAGGGCUCCAUUCCAUACCGGAUAGAGAAUCCAUGCCCGAAAUUUGUGUACUGCAAAUUCGUCCGAGAUGAUGUGGAAUGACAUUUCGGAGAUCUUUAACAAAUCAACCCACUAAAAAAAAAAAAAAUCAAACGGGGAGAAAGCAUACUGCUCUCAAUAAAUCUAACAAAUCGUAUCCAUCUUUUAACUCCAUAAAAAUGCUGCUAACGGUAAUGGAAUUCCAAUAAGAAAAGAAAUUAACUCCAUUUAAUUAUCUAGUUAAAAGCAACUAUCAUAAAAUGUUUGAUAGGGCAAAAACGCAUGCGAGUAAUACACCAAUUUAUGUGAAUGUGGAAGAUGGAGGUUGAGGAACGAUGUCAAUUCAGUAUAGAUGUAACACUUUUUGGUUGAGUUGCUUUUCUAUCUGAAUCUUUUCCUCCUCAUAAAUCCAAUUGAUUGUACCGCACGUAACAAUGAGAAUGGAAGCGACGGAAAAAACCUAAUAAAAUGUGAGUCUAGUCACUGAUCAAUACAUAUAUAUAAUAAAUACAUAGGUACCUCACAAUGGAAAAGAAUUUUAAUUCACACCCAAAGACCUCUCUAGAAAACAAUAUGAAUGACCCAUAGAAUCCGAAAAGACAUCAUAACACAAGACACGUGUAUUCGGACAAUGCUACAAACAAAAGGACUCACUCCAACAUAUAAAAAAUACUCUCAGGUAACCUCGUAAGGUAAUAAAAUGUUCAAGGGCUGGUGGCUGGAGGAGGAGUAAGGAAAGGAAUAGAAGGGAUUUUAGGGAGAGAAAUAGGGAUGCUCGGCAUUGGCGGCAAGGUGGUCGGCAUGGUUGGCAAACUUGGAAGUGGUGGCAGAGUAGUCUUGGGCAGGGCUGGUUGUGUGGUGGGCAGCGUCGGCAGUGUGGGCUGAGGCAGGGUCGUCGGGAUGGCAGGCAUUGGUGGCAUGGCGACCUUAGGCAAUGUCGGCAUGGCUGGUAGUGGCGGAAGCGACGUCGGGUUUGGUAGAGUCGGUAUUGUGGGAAGUGACGGUAUGGAUGGCAUAGUCGUUUGCAGCAGAUGACGAGCUCCGAAGCUCAUAUUGAUGAUUGAGAAAAUUAGAGCGACGAAGAGUACAAAGCUUUUUGAGAAAGAAGUCAUAUUGGUAUAUGGAGUCAGGAUAUUGUGCUGUGAUAGGCUCAAGGACUUGAAGCCAAUGAGCUGAGAGGAAUGGAUUGCUGAUUGUGUUGGAGUAAAUGGAGGGAGGAGAUGGCAGUUUAUAUAGCAAGAGAUAGUUAUAUAAAAAUUUAGGGUUGUGAUUAUAAGUUGGUGACUGGCCUGUGGGUAUGGUUAGGAAUAAACGGAACAAUCCUCAUUGGUUC
rnacentral:lncRNA from 1 species